rnacentral:rRNA from 1 species
GGAAUAUUGGACAAUGGGGGCAACCCUGAUCCAGCGACGCCGCGUGGGUGAAGAAGGCCUGCGGGUUGUAAAGCCCUUUCGGUGGGGAAGAGAAGCCUCGACCUAAUACGUCGGGGUCUUGACGUAACCCACAAAAGCAGCACCGGCCAACUCUGGCCCAGCAGCCGCGGUAAUACAGAGGGUGCGAGCGUUAAUCGGAAUUACUGGGCGUAAAGCGCACGUAGGCGGCUCUGCAAGUCGGGUGUGAAAUCCCCGGGCUCAACCUGGGAACUGCAUUCGAUACUGCAUUGCUAGAGUAUGGGAGAGGGAAGUGGAAUUUCCGGUGUAGCGGUGAAAUGCGUAGAUAUCGGAAGGAACACUCGAGGCGAAGGCGGCUUCCUGGACAGACACUGACGCUGAGGCGCGAAAGCUGGGGGAGCAAAC